GUACACUCCUGCGGGAGGCAGCAGUGGGGAAUAUUGCACAAUGGGCGCAAGCCUGAUGCAGCCAUGCCGCGUGUAUGAAGAAGGCCUUCGGGUUGUAAAGUACUUUCAGCGGGGAGGAAGGCGAUAAGGUUAAUAACCUUGUUGAUUGACGUUACCCGCAGAAGAAGCACCGGCUAACUCCGUGCCAGCAGCCGCGGUAAUACGGAGGGUGCAAGCGUUAAUCGGAAUUACUGGGCGUAAAGCGCACGCAGGCGGUCUGUCAAGUCGGAUGUGAAAUCCCCGGGCUCAACCUGGGAACUGCAUUCGAAACUGGCAGGCUAGAGUCUUGUAGAGGGGGGUAGAAUUCCAGGUGUAGCGGUGAAAUGCGUAGAGAUCUGGAGGAAUACCGGUGGCGAAGGCGGCCCCCUGGACAAAGACUGACGCUCAGGUGCGAAAGCGUGGGGAGCAAACAGGAUUAGAAACCCCUGUAGUCC
rnacentral:rRNA from 1 species